GCAAACUUGGUCAUUUAGAGGAAGUAAAAGUCGUAACAAGGUCUCCGUUGGUGAACCAGCGGAGGGAUCAUUACCGAGUUUACAACUCCCAAACCCCUGUGAACAUACCUUAAUCGUUGCCUCGGCGGAUCAGCCCGCUCCCCGUAAGACGGGACGGCCCGCCAGAGGAUCCACCAAACCCUUGCAUCUAGUGUAACUUCUGAGUGAAAACGCAAAUAAAUCAAAACUUUCAACAACGGAUCUCUUGGUUUUGGCAUCGAUGAAGAACGCAGC
rnacentral:misc_RNA from 1 species